GGAGUUAGCCGGUGCUUCUUCUGCGAGUAACGUCACAGAUGUAAGGUAUUAACUUACACCCUUUCCUCCUCGCUGAAAGUGCUUUACAACCCGAAGGCCUUCUUCACACACGCGGCAUGGCUGCAUCAGGGUUUCCCCCAUUGUGCAAUAUUCCCCACUGCUGCCUCCCGUAGGAGUCUGGGCCGUGUCUCAGUCCCAGUGUGGCUGAUCAUCCUCUCAGACCAGCUAGGGAUCGUCGCCUAGGUGAGCCUUUACCUCACCUACUAGCUAAUCCCACCUGGGCUUAUCCAUCAGCGCAAGGCCCGAAGGUCCCCUGCUUUCCCCCGUAGGGCCGUAUGCGGUAUUAGCAGUCGUUUCCAACUGUUAUCCCCCACAAAUGGGCAAAUUCCCAGGCAUUACUCACCCGUCCGCCGCUCGUCAUCUUCAAAGCAAGCUUUUGAAUGUUACCGCUCGACUUGCAUGUGUUAGGCCUGCCGCCAGCGUUCAAUCUGAGCCAGAAUCGAACCCUGA
rnacentral:rRNA from 1 species